AAGUCGUAACAAGGUUUCCGUAGGUGAACCUGCGGAAGGAUCAUUAACACGUAUCCAAACGUUAAAACCCCCCCCGUGAACCUUCAUCCUGUUGUAACCCGCGUAGUUCGCAAUCUCUGAUAAAUCAUAGCACAUUAAACUGCUACAGGAAUCGUAGAGGCGCUAUCCUUGCACAAUCAAUGACACUUUCCGACACUGACUGCUUGGAGAAAGAUUGCCUAUAGAACUACCGCUCGAUUGUAACUGUUCCAAUGUUCGCACGUAAUACAUUGGGUAAAAAAACCGAACAACUGUUAACAAUGGAUAUCUUGGUUCUC
rnacentral:misc_RNA from 1 species